rnacentral:rRNA from 1 species
AAACCUCCGAAACUCGAAUGAACGAACGGAGAGAUUCAUCGACAUCCGGCGGAGUACGGGCGCGCGCCACGAUGUCGCGCCUCCCCCCUCGCGGGUGUGUCGCGCGGCACGGGUCGCGUCCGUCGACGCCCGCCGGCGUCGUGCACUUCUCUCUCAGUAAUACAUCGCGACCCGUUCGCGGUCGGCCUAAGCGCCGUCCGGGAGCCCAGGGGGAGCGCUCGCGCACCCCCUGGACCGUGACGGCGGCCGGCCGGCCGUCUCGGACGGUAGUACGAAAUCGUACAAUGCGACGAACCGCGCACGCGCCUCGCGCGCGUCCGGCCCGACGCAAGCGAACGCCGCACAAUGUCGCGGUCCUGCCUACGCGCGGACCGCGACGCGGCGCUGCUGUCGUCGCAGCCGUGCUGUCUCGGACCGUGCGCGUCUCAGUCUGCGAUGAUUC